rnacentral:hammerhead_ribozyme from 1 species
AGCUAGUUGACGAGUCCUAAAUAGGACGAAAUGUGCGCUGUCCUGGAU